UACGUAGGGCGCAAGCGUUGUCCGGAAUUAUUGGGCGUAAAGAGCUCGUAGGCGGCUUGUCACGUCGGGUGUGAAAGCCCGGGGCUUAACCCCGGGUCUGCAUUCGAUACGGGCUGGCUAGAGUGUGGUAGGGGGAGAUCGGAAUUCCUGGUGUAGCGGUGAAAUGCGCAGAUAUCAGGAGGAACACCGGUGGCGAAGGCGGAUCUCUGGGCCAUUACUGACGCUGAGGAGCGAAAGCGUGGGGGAGCGAACAGG
rnacentral:rRNA from 1 species